rnacentral:ncRNA from 2 species
CUCUUAUUCAGAGUGACGGAGAGUAAAGGCUCUAUGAAGUCACGGCAACCCCCUAGGCGGAAGGUGCCAACCUGAGCGAGUAAAAUCGAGCAAUAAGAG